AAGAAUUGCAACCAUACCUAUAACUGGGAGAACUCGGGAAGCAACUCUUAGUGAGUGCUGAAGAGAAUUUUCCUAGUGGUGCACUGCUAAUAAAGUUCAUCGCAAGAAUCUGAGUUGUCUGCUGUUUUGAAUUAAUUUGACAUUUAGUGUACAAGCUCUUUAAGACUUAAUUUGGAGCGUAUCAUUUGAUUUAAAAGAAAAAGCAGAGCCAUGUCUUCCAUUCAGUUUCUAUCAAGGUUAUUCUCUCCUCGUCUGGCCUACCGUAGGAUCUCCGCGCAAAACCCUGGAGUUGUGUUCCUUUCGGGAUACAAUUCCAACAUGAAUGGGGAGAAAGCCUUGGCUUUGGAAGCGUUUUGCUGUUCAGCAGGCCAUUCCUUCAUCAGGUUUGAUUACACCGGCUGUGGCAGCUCAGAAGGAAAUUUUGAGGAUUGCUUAUUAGGGGAUUGGAAGAAUGAUGUGCUAACGGUCUUGGAUAAUCUUACCACAGGACCUCAGAUUCUCGUGGGCUCCAGCAUGGGAGGAUGGCUUAUGUUACUGGUGUCACUUGCCAGACCGGAGAAAGUGGCCGGAAUGGUCGGCAUAGCAACUGCUGCUGAUUACUUUGUAUCUGCUUUAAGACAGCUCCCCCCAGAGUUGAGGAAAGAGGCUGAGGUGAAGGGCCAGUACAAGAUAUCCUCCAAGUACAGUGCCACUGGUGACUACACCAUGAAGUAUGCCUUUGUAAAGGAGGCAGAAGAGCACUGUUUGCUACAGAGCAGCAUCCCGAUCUCGUGUCCAAUGCGGCUCCUGCAUGGAAUGAAGGACGACGUGGUCCCAUGGCAGAACUCCGUCAGGGUCGCGGAACAGCUGGAGAGUGACGAUGUCGACAUCAUCCUCCGGAAGAACGGUGACCACCGACUGUCGCAGCCUGAUGACUUGAAGCUGCUUGUCACCGUCAUUGACGACCUUAUGAAGAAGUUAACAAAAAAAGAUCAGAAGUGACUAGCCCUGCCUUGGCACUCCGGUGAGCCGGGUUCAGUCCUGGCCUCGGGUCCUAUUUGUGCGGAGUUUGCUUGUUCUCCAUGUGACAGUGCCGAUUCCCCUUACAUGCUCCAGUUUCCUCCCACACCCCAAGGAUGUGCUGGUAGGUUAGUUGGCUACUGUAAAUGACCCCGAGUCUCAGUGGAUUGGGGAGAACUGGGGUGGAGUUGAUGAGCAUGUAAGAGAAAACUGGUUACAGGGAAAUAAGGAAAUACAGGGAAUGUGAUUGAUAGGAUUGCUCUGAGAGCUGGCAUGGACUUGAAGGGCCGAAUGGUUUCCUUCUAUGCCGUUAGAAAAUAUGAGAAAGCUAUUGGUAGUUAAUGUUAACUGCCUUGCUCCAGUAACUAGUGAGUAACCACGCAUUGUAAGAGAGAAUAAAGUAACCCACCAGUCACCAAAAUGGAAGGAAUGGCCCUGGAUUAAGCAAAAUGCUAGAAAUGAAAGCCCUGCUACAGCCUAGAACUUUGAAUAACUUUCAGUCAAUUCUUGCAUAAAGAAGUUUUACCAUUUAUUUACUUCUCAGUUUAAAAAAAAAACAGCUUCCUUGAACAAAUUGGAAAAGGGACAUAAUAUUUACAAGGUUCUUAAAAUUCCUCUAUUGGUGUGCUUUAGAAGAGGCCCUGAGCUAAGAGGCAGUUCUCUCCAGUGUGGUAAAAGGAACUACACUUCAAAAAUACUUAAUUGGUCAUAAAGUGUUUUGGGGGAACCGGAGGUCAUUUAAUGGAGCUUUCUCAAUACUAUAUCGGUCUCCGAUCCCUGGAUACCACUGUCAUUUUAUCUCUGCCAUUUGUUUUAAUUCAUUGCAAUGAGUUGCUGGACAAUUUGAGGCUUUACUUGAGGAAACGGAGAAUCAUUAAUCAUUUCCUACUUUUCUGUUCAAAAUAAGUAAGCACACUGAAAAAAAAAUUAGCUGUGUGGGUUUGGAGUUCUGAGAGGUUCAAAUGGCAUUUGUGUUAACCCUUGGACUGAAUUUCUGUCUUCAGCCUCUGUUCGAUGAUCUGGCAACACACAAAGCACUGGAGGAACUCAGCGGGUCAGGUCGCAUCCAUGGAGGGAAAUGGACAGUUGACGUUUCGGGUCGAGACCCUUCAUCUGGACUGAAAGAGGGGAGAUGGUCAGUAUAAAGAGGUGAGGGAAGAGGUGGAGCAAGAGCUGACAAGUGAUAGGUGGAUCCAGGUGAGGAGGGGGUGAUAGGCAAAUGAGGGAGGGGGGAUAGUAGGAAUGGCGCCAGAAGCUGGGAGGUGACGGGUGGAAGUGACAAAGGGCUGAAGAUGAUGGAAUCUGAUAGGAGAGGAAGGUGGAGCCUGGAAUAAAUGGACGGAGGGAGGGAGGUGGGGAGGGGAACCAGUGGGAGAGUGUGAGGGUGAUGGGCAGAUGGGGAGAGGAAAGAGACAUGGUGAUGGGGUUCGGGUGGAUCAGGAGUGAGAGGAAAGGGACAGAGGGGGAGCAGAAACCGGAACCUGGAGAAUUCAGUGUUCAUGCCACCAGGUUGGAGACUACCCCGGUGGAAUAUGAGGUGCUUAUCCUUUAAUUUGCAUUUAGCCUCAACUUGGCAGUGGAGGAGGCUGAGGACAGACGUGUCGGUGUGGGAAUGGGAAGGAGAAUUAAAAUGGCUAGCAACUGGGAGAUCCUGGCGGAUGGAGCGAAGGUGCCCGGCGUAGUAGUCACCCAAUGUGCGUCUGGUCUCACCGAUCUGCAUCUGAGCUAGCUCUGCAGCUUGAUGUGACACCCCAAGAUGUAACAGGAUCUACAGACGUUACCCACCAUGAAAGGUUCCAAGAGAUGUGUGGGCACAGCACAAAGGCCAAAGCUCAACGAUUGAACAGGUCGAGCAAGAUUGCGAGGGAAAAUGACCUAAGGAUUCGUCAAGUGCAGAGAGGGGAAGGGGUCAUUUAGUGUACGACACUGGGUGCUCGCGAUAUGGAGAACCCAAAGGCAGAUUGGACAUCCGCUCUGCAGAAGACCCACGUUCAAAUCGCAAGAGUGACCUUAAGCUUCCAAUCUCCUGUCACCUUGAUUUCCCAUCCCACUCUCACACCAACCUUGUAUCCUUAGUCUCCCACAUUACUCCAAUGAGGCCCGACGUAAGCUCGAGGAACAGCACCUCAUCUAUUACCUGUGUACAUUACAGCUAUCUGGACUUCACAAUGAAAAUCAACAAUUUUAGGUAACCCUUUUUUUCCCCUCUCUAUGGAUAUGGCUGUCUCAGUUAGUUUCAUUUUCCUCUUCUGUUCUCAAUUGUCAUUAUUUAAAGUAAUUGUUACCUUGACAACUUUGGUGGUCGUUCUAACACAGACGUUCCCUCUGUUCUAUCCACCCCCUCCCUGCAAACUUAAAACACACUCAUCUUCUCACUUUUCCAGUCCUAAUGAAGGACCUUGACCCAAAACACUGACUGUUUCUCUCCCCACUGAUGCUGCCCGACCUGCUGAGUGGUUCAGUUUUCAUUCCUGAUAUUUUAGGGCCUUGGAAUCUUAAAGCACAGAUGCCCGUAGUGGAGCAGUUAAACUUAGGGAGGAUCAAGAAUCGGAAGGGCACAAGAGGUUGUGAAUGGUUGUAAGGCUGGUGGAGAUUGUAGAGAAAGGGAUGCGUGAAGGGACUUGAAAACAAGGAUGAAAAUUUCAAAAUGACUAACGUUAUAUUCCGAUUCAGGGCACAGAUGGGGGGGAAGGUGUGCAGUCUUCUUCCCAGGGAAAGGGAAUCAAAAACUAGAGGGCAUAGGUUUAAAGUGAGAGGGGAAAGAUUUAAAAGGGACCUGAGAGGCAACUUCUUCAUGCAGAGGAUGGUAUGUACAUGCAACGAGCUGCCAGAGGAAGUGGUUGAGGCGGGUACAAUAACAACAUUUAAAAGACACUUGGACAGGUACAUGGAUAGGAAAGGUUUAGAGGGAUAUGGGCCAAACGAGGGCAAAUGGGACUAGCUUAUUUGGGCAUCUUGGUUGGCAUGGACGAGUAGGGCCGAAGGGCCUGUUUCCAUGCUUUAUGACUCUAUAUAGAAGUGUCGGCAAAUAAUAAGCUACAAAAACACAAUGGACCAGGUAUUCUCUGGUGAGAGGAAGGUUGUGGCAUUAAUGGU